UAGGGAAUCUUCGGCAAUGGGGGGAACCCUGACCGAGCAACGCCGCGUGAGUGAAGAAGGUUUUCGGAUCGUAAAGCUCUGUUGUUAAGGAAGAACGAGUGUGAGAAUGGAAAGUUCAUACUUUGACGGUACUUAACCAUAAAGGGACGGCUAACUACGUGCUAGCAGCCGCGGUAAUACGUAGGUCCCGAGCGUUGUCCGGAUUUAUUGGGCGUAAAGCGAGCGCAGGCGGUUAGAUAAGUCUGAAGUUAAAGGCAGUGGCUCAACCAUUGUAGGUAUUGGAAACAGUUUAACUUGAGUGCAGAAGGGGAGAGAGGAAUUCAAUGUGUAACGGUGAAAUGCGUAGAUAUAUGGAGGAACACCGGUGGCGAAAGCGGCUCUCUGGUCUGUAACUGACGCUGAGGCUCGAAAGCGUGGGGAGCGAACAGG
rnacentral:rRNA from 1 species